CCCCUCUCAGGGUCACACCUGGAGAGUUUCCAGUUCUCUACCAAUCUUGACUUCAUGAGGGAGAGUCAAGCAGAGGCCUGUCCAUUUCAUUCCUAGCUUAGGCAAUGGCUAGCGAGUGGAAGGCAAUCUGCUACAAGU
rnacentral:snoRNA from 1 species